rnacentral:rRNA from 1 species
AGAGUUUGAUCCUGGCUCAGGACGAACGCUGGCGGCACGCUUAACACAUGCAAGUCGAACGAGAGAAGAGGAGCUUGCUUUUCUGAUCUAGUGGCGGACGGGUGAGUAACACGUGAGCAAUCUGCCUUUCAGAGGGGGAUACCGAUUGGAAACGAUCGUUAAUACCGCAUAACAUAAUUGAACCGCAUGAUUUGAUUAUCAAAGAUUUAUCGCUGAAAGAUGAGCUCGCGUCUGAUUAGCUAGUUGGUAAGGUAACGGCUUACCAAGGCGACGAUCAGUAGCCGGACUGAGAGGUUGAUCGGCCACAUUGGGACUGAGACACGCCCCAGACUCCUACGGGAGGCAGCAGUGGGGAAUAUUGCACAAUGGAGGAAACCCUGAUGCAGCGAUGCCGCGUGAGGGAAGAAGGUUUUAGGAUUGUAAACCUCUGUCCUCAGGGACGAAAAAAGACGGUACCUGAGGAGGAAGCUCCGGCUAACUACGUGCCAGCAGCCGCGGUAAUACGUAGGGAGCGAGCGUUGUCCGGAAUUACUGGGUGUAAAGGGAGCGUAGGCGGGAUCGCAAGUCAGAUGUGAAAACUAUGGGCUUAACCCAUAAACUGCAUUUGAAACUGUGGUUCUUGAGUGAAGUAGAGGUAAGCGGAAUUCCUAGUGUAGCGGUGAAAUGCGUAGAUAUUAGGAGGAACAUCAGUGGCGAAGGCGGCUUACUGGGCUUUAACUGACGCUGAGGCUCGAAAGCGUGGGGAGCAAACAGGAUUAGAUACCCUGGUAGUCCACGCCGUAAACGAUGAUUACUAGGUGUGGGGGGACUGACCCCUUCCGUGCCGCAGCAAACGCAAUAAGUAAUCCACCUGGGGAGUACGACCGCAAGGUUGAAACUCAAAGGAAUUGACGGGGGCCCGCACAAGCAGUGGAGUAUGUGGAUUAAUUCGAAGCAACGCGAAGAACCUUACCAGGUCUUGACAUCGUAUGCAUAGCUCAGAGAUGAGUGAAAUCUCUUCGGAGACAUAUAGACAGGUGGUGCAUGGUUGUCGUCAGCUCGUGUCGUGAGAUGUUGGGUUAAGUCCCGCAACGAGCGCAACCCUUACUGUUAGUUGCUACGCAAGAGAACUCUAGCAGGACUGCCGUUGACAAAACGGAGGAAGGUGGGGAUGACGUCAAAUCAUCAUGCCCCUUAUGACCUGGGCCUCACACGUACUACAAUGGCUGUCAACAGAGGGAAGCAAAGCCGCGAGGUGGAGCGAACCCCUAAAAGCAGUCUUAGUUCGGAUUGUAGGCUGCAACCCGCCUACAUGAAGUCGGAAUUGCUAGUAAUCGCAGAUCAGCAUGCUGCGGUGAAUACGUUCCCGGGCCUUGUACACACCGCCCGUCACGCCAUGGGAGUCGGUAACACCCGAAGCCUGUAGUCUAACCGCAAGGAGGACGCAGUCGAAGGGGGGAUUGAUGACUGGGGUGAAGUCGUAACAAGGUA